CUAUAUCAAUAAGCGGAGGAAAAGAAACCAACCGGGAUUGCCUCAGUAACGGCGAGUGAAGCGGCAAGAGCUCAAAUUUGAAAGCUGGCUCCUUCGGAGUCCGCAUUGUAAUUUGCAGAGGAUGCUUUGGGUGCGGCCCCCGUCUAAGUGCCCUGGAACGGGCCGUCAGAGAGGGUGAGAAUCCCGUCUUGGGCGGGGUGUCCGUGCCCGUGUAAAGCUCCUUCGACGAGUCGAGUUGUUUGGGAAUGCAGCUCUAAAUGGGUGGUAAAUUUCAUCUAAAGCUAAAUACUGGCCGGAGACCGAUAGCGCACAAGUAGAGUGAUCGAAAGAUGAAAAGCACUUUGAAAAGAGAGUUAAACAGCACGUGAAAUUGUUGAAAGGGAAGCGCUUGCGACCAGACUCGCCCGCGGGGUUCAGCCGGCAUUCGUGCCGGUGUACUUCCCCGUGGGCGGGCCAGCGUCGGUUUGGGCGGCCGGUCAAAGGCCCCUGGAAUGUAGUACCCUCCGGGGUACCUUAUAGCCAGGGGUGCAAUGCGGCCAGCCUGGACCGAGGAACGCGCUUCGGCACGGACGCUGGCAUAAUGGUCGUAAACGACCCGUCUUGAAACACGGACCAAGGAGUCUAACAUCUACGCGAGUGUUCGGGUGUCAAACCCGUGCGCGCAGUGAAAGCGAACGGAGGUGGGAGCCCCCUCGCGGGGCGCACCAUCGACCGAUCCUGAUGUCUUCGGAUGGAUUUGAGUAAGAGCGUAAAUGUGGGGACCCGAAAGAUGGUGAACUAUGCCUGAAUAGGGCGAAGCCAGAGGAAACUCUGGUGGAGGCUCGCAGCGGUUCUGACGUGCAAAUCGAUCGUCAAAUUUGGGUAUAGGGGCGAAAGACUAAUCGAACCAUCUAGUAACUGGUUCCUGCCGA
rnacentral:rRNA from 1 species